GACGAACGCUGGCGGCGUGCUUAACACAUGCAAGUCGAACGGAAGGGCCCUGCUUUUGUGGGGUGCUCGAGUGGCGAACGGGUGAGUAAUACGUGAGUAACCUGCCCUUGACUUUGGGAUAACUUCAGGAAACUGGGGCUAAUACCGGAUAGGAGCUCCUGCUGCAUGGUGGGGGUUGGAAAGUUUCGGCGGUUGGGGAUGGACUCGCGGCUUAUCAGCUUGUUGGUGGGGUAGUGGCUUACCAAGGCUUUGACGGGUAGCCGGCCUGAGAGGGUGACCGGCCACAUUGGGACUGAGAUACGGCCCAGACUCCUACGGGAGGCAGCAGUGGGGAAUAUUGCACAAUGGGCGGAAGCCUGAUGCAGCAACGCCGCGUGCGGGAUGACGGCCUUCGGGUUGUAAACCGCUUUCGCCUGUGACGAAGCGUGAGUGACGGUAAUGGGUAAAGAAGCACCGGCUAACUACGUG
rnacentral:rRNA from 1 species